rnacentral:rRNA from 1 species
UACGUAGGGGGCUAGCGUUGUCCGGAAUCAUUGGGCGUAAAGAGCGUGUAGGCGGCUCGGUAAGUCCGCUCUGAAAGCCCGGGGCUCAACCCCGGGAGGCGGGCGGAUACUGUCGAGCUAGAGUCCGGAAGAGGCGAGUGGAAUUCCUGGUGUAGCGGUGAAAUGCGUAGAUAUCUGGAGGAAUACCGGUGGCGAAGGCGGCAUCCUGGACCGGCAUUGACGCUGAGGAGCGAAAGCUAGGGGAGCAAACGGG